GGCAACGACCAUACCACGUUGAAUACACCAGUUCUCGUCCGAACAUUGAAGUUAAGCAACGUAGUUAGUACUUGGAUGGGGGUGACCGCUUGGGAACACUGCGUGCCGUUGGCA
rnacentral:rRNA from 1 species